UUAAGUUAUUAAGGGCGCACGGUGGAUGCCUUGGCACUAGAAGCCGAUGAAGGACGUUACUAACGACGAUAUGCUUUGGGGAGCUGUAAGUAAGCUUUGAUCCAGAGAUUUCCGAAUGGGGAAACCCAGCAUGAGUUAUGUCAUGUUAUCGAUAUGUGAAUACAUAGCAUAUCAGAAGGCACACCCGGAGAACUGAAACAUCUUAGUACCCGGAGGAAGAGAAAGAAAAUUCGAUUCCCUUAGUAGCGGCGAGCGAAACGGGAAGAGCCCAAACCAACAAGCUUGCUUGUUGGGGUUGUAGGACACUCUAUACGGAGUUACAAAGGACGACAUUAGACGAAUCAUCUGGAAAGAUGAAUCAAAGAAGGUAAUAAUCCUGUAGUCGAAAAUGUUGUCUCUCUUGAGUGGAUCCUGAGUACGACGGAGCACGUGAAAUUCCGUCGGAAUCUGGGAGGACCAUCUCCUAAGGCUAAAUACUCUCUAGUGACCGAUAGUGAACCAGUACCGUGAGGGAAAGGUGAAAAGCACCCCGGAAGGAGAGUGAAAUAGAACCUGAAACCGUGUGCUUACAAGUAGUCAGAGCCCGUUAAUGGGUGAUGGCGUGCCUUUUGUAGAAUGAACCGGCGAGUUACGAUUUGAUGCAAGGUUAAGCAGUAAAUGUGGAGCCGUAGCGAAAGCGAGUCUGAAUAGGGCGUUUAGUAUUUGGUCGUAGACCCGAAACCAGGUGAUCUACCCUUGGUCAGGUUGAAGUUCAGGUAACACUGAAUGGAGGACCGAACCGACUUACGUUGAAAAGUGAGCGGAUGAACUGAGGGUAGCGGAGAAAUUCCAAUCGAACCUGGAGAUAGCUGGUUCUCUCCGAAAUAGCUUUAGGGCUAGCCUCAAGUGAUGAUUAUUGGAGGUAGAGCACUGUUUGGACGAGGGGCCCCUCUCGGGUUACCGAAUUCAGACAAACUCCGAAUGCCAAUUAAUUUAACUUGGGAGUCAGAACAUGGGUGAUAAGGUCCGUGUUCGAAAGGGAAACAGCCCAGACCACCAGCUAAGGUCCUAAAAUAUAUGUUAAGUGGAAAAGGAUGUGGCGUUGCCCAGACAACUAGGAUGUUGGCUUAGAAGCAGCCAUCAUUUAAAGAGUGCGUAAUAGCUCACUAGUCGAGUGACACUGCGCCGAAAAUGUACCGGGGCUAAACAUAUUACCGAAGCUGUGGAUUGUCCUUUGGACAAUGGUAGGAGAGCGUUCUAAGGGCGUUGAAGCAUGAUCGUAAGGACAUGUGGAGCGCUUAGAAGUGAGAAUGCCGGUGUGAGUAGCGAAAGACGGGUGAGAAUCCCGUCCACCGAUUGACUAAGGUUUCCAGAGGAAGGCUCGUCCGCUCUGGGUUAGUCGGGUCCUAAGCUGAGGCCGACAGGCGUAGGCGAUGGAUAACAGGUUGAUAUUCCUGUACCACCUAUAAUCGUUUUAAUCGAUGGGGGGACGCAGUAGGAUAGGCGAAGCGUGCGAUUGGAUUGCACGUCUAAGCAGUAAGGCUGAGUAUUAGGCAAAUCCGGUACUCGUUAAGGCUGAGCUGUGAUGGGGAGAAGACAUUGAGUCUUCGAGUCGUUGAUUUCACACUGCCGAGAAAAGCCUCUAGAUAGAAAAUAGGUGCCCGUACCGCAAACCGACACAGGUAGUCAAGAUGAGAAUUCUAAGGUGAGCGAGCGAACUCUCGUUAAGGAACUCGGCAAAAUGACCCCGUAACUUCGGGAGAAGGGGUGCUCUUUAGGGUUAACGCCCAGAAGAGCCGCAGUGAAUAGGCCCAAGCGACUGUUUAUCAAAAACACAGGUCUCUGCUAAACCGUAAGGUGAUGUAUAGGGGCUGACGCCUGCCCGGUGCUGGAAGGUUAAGAGGAGUGGUUAGCUUCUGCGAAGCUACGAAUCGAAGCCCCAGUAAACGGCGGCCGUAACUAUAACGGUCCUAAGGUAGCGAAAUUCCUUGUCGGGUAAGUUCCGACCCGCACGAAAGGCGUAACGAUUUGGGCACUGUCUCAACGAGAGACUCGGUGAAAUCAUAGUACCUGUGAAGAUGCAGGUUACCCGCGACAGGACGGAAAGACCCCGUGGAGCUUUACUGUAGCCUGAUAUUGAAAUUCGGCACAGCUUGUACAGGAUAGGUAGGAGCCUUUGAAACGUGAGCGCUAGCUUACGUGGAGGCGCUGGUGGGAUACUACCCUAGCUGUGUUGGCUUUCUAACCCGCACCACUUAUCGUGGUGGGAGACAGUGUCAGGCGGGCAGUUUGACUGGGGCGGUCGCCUCCUAAAAGGUAACGGAGGCGCUCAAAGGUUCCCUCAGAAUGGUUGGAAAUCAUUCAUAGAGUGUAAAGGCAUAAGGGAGCUUGACUGCGAGACCUACAAGUCGAGCAGGGUCGAAAGACGGACUUAGUGAUCCGGUGGUUCCGCAUGGAAGGGCCAUCGCUCAACGGAUAAAAGCUACCCCGGGGAUAACAGGCUUAUCUCCCCCAAGAGUUCACAUCGACGGGGAGGUUUGGCACCUCGAUGUCGGCUCAUCGCAUCCUGGGGCUGUAGUCGGUCCCAAGGGUUGGGCUGUUCGCCCAUUAAAGCGGUACGCGAGCUGGGUUCAGAACGUCGUGAGACAGUUCGGUCCCUAUCCGUCGUGGGCGUAGGAAAUUUGAGAGGAGCUGUCCUUAGUACGAGAGGACCGGGAUGGACAUACCUCUGGUGUACCAGUUGUCGUGCCAACGGCAUAGCUGGGUAGCUAUGUGUGGACGGGAUAAGUGCUGAAAGCAUCUAAGCAUGAAGCCCCCCUCAAGAUGAGAUUUCCCAACUUCGGUUAUAAGAUCCCUCAAAGAUGAUGAGGUUAAUAGGUUCGAGGUGGAAGCAUGGUGACAUGUGGAGCUGACGAAUACUAAUCGAUCGAAGACUUAAUCAA
rnacentral:rRNA from 1 species